rnacentral:rRNA from 1 species
AACGAACGCUGGCGGCAGGCCUAACACAUGCGAGUCGAGCGCGCCCUUCGGGGUGAGCGGCGGACGGGUGAGUAACGCGUGGGAACGUGCCCUUUUCUACGGAAUAGCCUCGGGAAACUGAGAGUAAUACCGUAUACGCCCUUUGGGGGAAAGAUUUAUCGGAAAAGGAUCGGCCCGCGUUGGAUUAGGUAGUUGGUGGGGUAAUGGCCUACCAAGCCGACGAUCCAUAGCUGGUUUGAGAGGAUGAUCAGCCACACUGGGACUGAGACACGGCCCAGACUCCUACGGGAGGCAGCUGUGGGGAAUCUUAGACAAUGGGGGCAACCCUGAUCUAGCCAUGCCGCGUGAGUGAUGAAGGCCUUAGGGUUGUAAAGCUCUUUCAGCUGGGAAGAUAAUGACGGUACCAGCAGAAGAAGCCCCGGCUAACUCCGUG